UUGCUCCCGGAUGUUAGCGGCGGACGGGUGAGUAACACGUGGGUAACCUGCCUGUAAGACUGGGAUAACUCCGGGAAACCGGAGCUAAUACCGGAUAGUUCCUUGAACCGCAUGGUUCAAGGAUGAAAGACGGUUUCGGCUGUCACUUACAGAUGGACCCGCGGCGCAUUAGCUAGUUGGUGGGGUAAUGGCUCACCAAGGCGACGAUGCGUACCCGACCUGAGAGGGUGAUCGGCCACACUGGGACUGAGACACGGCCCAGACUCCUACGGGAGGCAGCAGUAGGGAAUCUUCCGCAAUGGACGAAAGUCUGACGGAGCAACGCCGCGUGAGUGAUGAAGGUUUUCGGAUCGUAAAGCUCUGUUGUUAGGGAAAAACAAGUGCGAGAGUAACUGCUCGCACCUUGACGGUACCUAACCAGAAAGCCACGGCUAACUACGUGCCAGCAGCCGCGGUAAUACGUAGGUGGCAAGCGUUGUCCGGAAUUAUUGGGCGUAAAGGGCUCGCAGGCGGUUUCUUAAGUCUGAUGUGAAAGCCCCCGGCUCAACCGGGGAGGGUCAUUGGAAACUGGGAAACUUGAGUGCAGAAGAGGAGAGUGGAAUUCCACGUGUAGCGGUGAAAUGCGUAGAGAUGUGGAGGAACACCAGUGGCGAAGGCGACUCUCUGGUCUGUAACUGACGCUGAGGAGCGAAAGCGUGGGGAGCGAACAGGAUUAGAUACCCUGGUAGUCCACGCCGUAAACGAUGAGUGCUAAGUGUUAGGGGGUCUCCGCCCCUUAGUGCUGCAGCUAACGCAUUAAGCACUCCGCC
rnacentral:rRNA from 1 species